AUUGAACGCUGGCGGCAGGCCUAACACAUGCAAGUCGAACGAGUGGCGGACGGGUGAGUAAUGUCUGGGAAACUGCCUGAUGGAGGGGGAUAACUACUGGAAACGGUAGCUAAUACCGCAUACCAUCAGAUGUGCCCAGAUGGGAUUAGAGAGUUGGGGGGGUAACGGCUAACCAAGGCGACGAUCCCUAGCUGGUCUGAGAGGAUGACCAGCCACACUGGAACUGAGACACGGCCCAGACUCCUACGGGAGGCAGCAGUGGGGAAUAUGCGACAAUGGGCGAAAGCCUGAUGCAGCCAUGCCGCGUGUAUGAAGAAGGCCGUCGGGUUGUAAAGUACUUUCGGCGGGGAGGCGUUACCCGCAGAGGAAGCACCGGCUAACUCCGUGCCAGCCGCCGCGGUAAUAC
rnacentral:rRNA from 1 species